rnacentral:rRNA from 1 species
CUGGCGGAAUGCUUUACACAUGCAAGUCGAACGGCAGCACGGGAGCUUGCUCCUGGUGGCGAGUGGCGAACGGGUGAGUAACAUAUCGGAACGUAUCCAAUAAUGGGGGAUAACUAGUCGAAAGACUUGCUAAUACCGCAUACGCCCCACGGGGGAAAGCAGGGGAUCGCAAGACCUUGCGUUAAUGGAGCGGCCGAUAUCUGAUUAGCUAGUUGGUGGGGUAAAGGCCCACCAAGGCAUUGAUCAGUAGCUGGUCUGAGAGGACGACCAGCCACACUGGAACUGAGACACGGUCCAGACUCCUACGGGAGGCAGCAGUGGGGAAUUUUGGACAAUGGGGGCAACCCUGAUCCAGCCAUUCCGCGUGAGUGAAGAAGGCCUUCGGGUUGUAAAGCUCUUUCGCAAGGGAAGAAACGAUACAGACCAAUAAUCUGUGUUAAUGACGGUACCUUGAUAAGAAGCACCGGCUAACUACGUGCCAGCAGCCGCGGUAAUACGUAGGGUGCGAGCGUUAAUCGGAAUUACUGGGCGUAAAGCGUGCGCAGGCGGUUCUGUAAGUCAGAUGUGAAAGCCCCGGGCUCAACCUGGGAACUGCGUUUGAAACUACAGGACUGGAGUAUGGCAGAGGGGGGUAGAAUUCCACGUGUAGCAGUGAAAUGCGUAGAGAUGUGGAGGAAUACCAAUGGCGAAGGCAGCCCCCUGGGUCAAUACUGACGCUCAUGCACGAAAGCGUGGGGAGCAAACAGGAUUAGAUACCCUGGUAGUC